GGGCAAAGACUUGCUUUCUGCUUGACCAAAGGAGCGUAAGUCAUCACAGGAGGAUAGAUUUCAGCUGAACAUUAGAAGAAUUACUGAAUGGCUCUCUUCUGCAAAUAACGACCUCGCUUUGACAAUGACAACAUGGGACUGUCAGAAUAAUUUCCAUUGUGCUUUGGUACUGAUUCAGCUCUCCAAAAGAAGGAAGGACAACCUAAAGGCCAGGAACAAGACAAGAAAGAGGGACUCUCAAGAAGGAGUUAACAAACCCUAUAAUACUUAUGUUCUGUCUGCCCUUCCCUAAAUCUUUAGUAUGCACAAGUUUGUUUUUCAGGUGGAAUCUAUAACUGAGAUAUCUAAUGAAGCAUCAAAGCCAAGCUCAGGAGCUCCCUGUCUUUACCAAAGCUGUUCAUAUCAUGAAGAAUCAGAACACAGGGACAGGCCACUGGUGAAAAGGGACUGUAGCUAUAGGCAAAGUCAAGUUUUCGAGUCUGGUAUUCCUGAGGAGCUCUCAAAAAACCAUGAGACAAUUCAUCAUCCUCUUCAUCUUUUUUAUUUGU